rnacentral:lncRNA from 12 species
GCCUGCUGUGGGUGGGGGGUGGGGGUGGAUUUUCCACUCAUGGAAGGGGAGGAAAGGGCAGAGGGUGGGGGCUUCCUUGGGAAGCUCAGGGAUGAGUCACCAAGGGCCUGGGGAGUGGAAGGUGGGUAGGAUGUGGAGACCAGUCAUGCUGGGGGCUGUAGGGCGGCGCAGAAACAAUGGAAACCAGCCAAUUCAGCAGCAAGAGGAAUCAGCUCAGACACCAGGAAGACAUCCAGAGGUCCCCUGAGAAGUGUAACCAAGCCUCUGAAGGGUUCCAUGUAAAGAAGCCCUAGUCUACAAGCUCUGUGCCUGAUGGAGGAAGCAGCAGUGCAUGGAGCACCAAGCUGUUCUCAAAAGCACAGCCCUUGGAUGGUCCUGGAAGGAGACCAAGAGAAAUUUCAGGAUGCAGGCCCUGUGCUCAGCAACUGGUGAGGGAGACCCACACUCAAGGCUCAGAAGGAGGCAUGGAAGCCAAGAAGCAUGGACAUGGGCA